AACGAACGCUGGCGGCAGGCUUAACACAUGCAAGUCGAACGCCCCGCAAGGGGAGUGGCAGACGGGUGAGUAACGCGUGGGAACGUACCCUUUACUACGGAAUAGCUCCGGGAAACUGGAAUUAAUACCGUAUGUGCCCUUCGGGGGAAAGAUUUAUCGGUAAAGGAUCGGCCCGCGUUGGAUUAGCUAGUUGGUGGGGUAAAGGCCUACCAAGGCGACGAUCCAUAGCUGGUCUGAGAGGAUGAUCAGCCACAUUGGGACUGAGACACGGCCCAAACUCCUACGGGAGGCAGCAGUGGGGAAUAUUGGACAAUGGGCGCAAGCCUGAUCCAGCCAUGCCGCGUGAGUGAUGAAGGUCUUAGGAUUGUAAAGCUCUUUCACCGGGGAAGAUAAUGACGGUACCCGGAGAAGAAGCACCGGCUAACUACGUGCCAGCCGCCGCGGUAA
rnacentral:rRNA from 1 species